CUGUCAUUUUGCGAUGGUUGCUUAGCUGUCACAACUGUGGACGAUUUUGCUUUGUUUUUGAAUUACAGUCUUUUUAAAGUUGCACAUAUCCCGACAUCAAAUAUGAAAUAUUCGAUGGCUCCAGGCGACGAUUCACUUAAUAAAAAUCGAACGUGCCUAGUUAGUGGAACCUCAAAAGUGGUGUGGAAGACGACUAUUAUAAACACUUAAAAUUACUAAUGAACUAAUAAUACGCUACACAUACUUUAACAUGCUAACAAGAGUGCAAUAAAUCUUUGAUCUAUUUGACUGCAUUUGUAAGAUGUAUUUGACUGCAUUGUAUGUUACCGUUUCUCCACUAAUCUCCACAGUACAGUAACUCUUGCUAAUAUGCAGUAAUUAAAAAUAAAUAGUUAAAAAUUU